rnacentral:rRNA from 1 species
AGAGUUUGAUCAUGGCUCAGAAUCAACGCUGGCGGCGUGCCUCAGACAUGCAAGUCGAACGUGAAAGUUCCUUCGGGAAUGAGUAAAGUGGCGCACGGGUGAGUAACACGUGAGUAAUCUGCCUUUGGGUGGGGAAUACCAGCCGGAAACGGCUGUUAAUACCGCAUAAUGCAGCGGCAUCAUAAGAUGACAGUUGUUAAAGCGGGGGAUCAGCAAUGACCUCGCGCCUAAAGAGGAGCUCGCGGCAGAUUAGGUAGUUGGUGAGGUAAUGGCUCACCAAGCCUGCGAUCUGUAACCGGCCUGAGAGGGCGGUCGGUCACACUGACACUGACAUACGGGUCAGACUCCUACGGGAGGCAGCAGUCGGGAAUUUUGGGCAAUGGGCGAAAGCCUGACCCAGCAACGCCGCGUGAAGGAUGAAGCAUUUCGGUGUGUAAACUUCGCAAGAAUAGGAAGAAUAAGUUUGGGUGAAUAAUCCAAGCGAUGACGGUACUAUUUGUAAGCUCCGGCUAACUCCGUGCCAGCAGCCGCGGUAAUACGGGGGGAGCAAGCGUUGUUCGGAUUUACUGGGCGUAAAGGGUGCGUAGGCGGCACCACAAGUCACUUGUGAAAUCUUUGGGCUUAACCCAAAGCGGCCAAGUGAUACUGUGGAGCUAGAGUGCAGAAGGGGCAACUGGAAUUCUUGGUGUAGCGGUGAAAUGCGUAGAUAUCAAGAGGAACACCUGCGGCGAAGGCGGGUUGCUGGGCUGACACUGACGCUGAGGCACGAAAGCUAGGGUAGCAAACGGGAUUAGAUACCCCAGUAGUCC